GAUGAACGCUGGCGGCGUGCCUAAUACAUGCAAGUCGAGCGAACAGAUGAGGAGCUUGCUCCUCUGACGUUAGCGGCGGACGGGUGAGUAACACGUGGAUAACCUACCUAUAAGACUGGGAUAACUUCGGGAAACCGGAGCUAAUACCGGAUAAUAUAUUGAACCGCAUGGUUCAAUAGUGAAAGACGGUUUUGCUGUCACUUAUAGAUGGAUCCGCGCCGCAUUAGCUAGUUGGUAAGGUAACGGCUUACCAAGGCAACGAUGCGUAGCCGACCUGAGAGGGUGAUCGGCCACACUGGAACUGAGACACGGUCCAGACUCCUACGGGAGGCAGCAGUAGGGACUCUUCCGCAAUGGGCGAAAGCCUGACGGAGCAACGCCGCGUGAGUGAUGAAGGUCUUCGGAUCGUAAAACUCUGUUAUUAGGGAAGAACAAAUGCGUAAGUAACUAUGCACGUCUUGACGGUACCUAAUCAGAAAGCCACGGCUAACUACGUG
rnacentral:rRNA from 1 species